AUUGAACGCUGGCGGCAGGCCUAACACAUGCAAGUCGACCGAGUGGCGGACGGGUGAGUAAUGUCUGGGAAACUGCCCGAUGGAGGGGGAUAACUACUGGAAACGGUAGCUAAUACCGCGUACCAUCCGAUGUGCCCAGAUGGGAUUCGCUUGUAGGUGAGGUAACGGCUCACCUAGGCGAGGAUCCCUAGCUGGUAUGAGAGGAUGACCAGCCAAACUGGAACUGAGAAACGGUCAGGACUCCUACGGGCGGAAGCGGUGGGGAAUAGUGAACAAUGGGCGCAAGCCUGAUGCAGCCAUGCCGCGGGUGUGAAGAAGGCCUUCGGGUUGUAAAGUACUUUCAGCGGGGAGGCGUUACCGGCAGAAGAAGCACCGGCUAACUCCGUGCCAGCAGCCGCGGUAAUUC
rnacentral:rRNA from 1 species